AUUGAACGCUGGCGGCAUGCCUAACACAUGCAAGUCGAGCGGCUGAAGGGAGCUCGCUCCUGUCUUCAGCGGCCGACGGGUGAGUAAUGCCUAGGUAUAUGCCUGGUUGUGGGGGAUAAGGUCCGGACACGGGCGCUAAUAACGCAUAGGUCCUGAGGGAGAAAGUGGGGGAUAUUCGGACCACACGCUAUUAGAUGAGCCUAGGUCGGAUUAGCUAGUUGGUGGGGUAGAUGCAUUACAAGGCGGCGUUCCGUAACUGGUCUGAGAGGGUGAUCAGUCACACUGGAACUGAGACACGGUCCAGACUCCUACGGGAGGCAGCAGUGGGGAAUAUUACGCGAGGGGCGAAAGCCGGAUCCAGCAAAGCCGCGUGAGGGAAGAAGGUCUUCGGAUUGUAGAACACUGUAAGUUUUGGGGAAGUACAGUGAGUUUAUACCUGACUGUUUUGACGGUACCAACAGAAUAAGCACCGGCUAACUACGUG
rnacentral:rRNA from 1 species